UUGUUGCAGUUAAAAAGCUCGUAGUUGGAUUUCGGAGUGGGCCAGUUGGUCCGCCGCAAGGUGUGUUACUGACUGGUUUGCUCUUCUUCGCAAAGACUGCGUGUGCUCUUGAGUGAGUGUGCGUAGGAUUUACGACGUUUACUUUGAAAAAAUUAGAGUGUUCAAAGCAGGCUAUUGCUUGAAUACAUGAGCAUGGAAUAAUGGAAUAGGACUUUGGUCCCAUUUUGUUGGUUUCUAGGGCCGAAGUAAUGAUUAAGAGGGACAAUUGGGGGCAUCCGUAUUUCGUUGUCAGAGGUGAAAUUCUUGGAUUUACGACAGACGAACAACUGCGAAAGCACUUGCCAAGAGUGUUUUCAUUAAUCAAGAACGAAAGUUAGAGGAUCGAAGACGAUCAGAUACCGUCCUAGUUCUAACCAUAAACGAUGUCGACUAGGGAUCAGCGGGCGUUAUCGUACGACCCCGUUGGCACCUUACGGGAAACCAAAGUUUUUGGAUUCCGGGGGAAGUAUGGUUGCACCGC
rnacentral:rRNA from 1 species